CGCUCAGUUAAACUUCCAUGGUUUUGCGUCUGCCACCAUUGUUGCUGUUGAUUAAUCGUUCCGCGAGAGCCACGAAGCGCGAAGCGAAGUUCGUUCGCAAAACUCCAAAUCACCCUCUUUGCCAGGAAAGCUCCGUUUGUUACUAGACUAAUGUAUUUCGUUAUUAUAUACUAAUGGUUAAUGAUCUCUGCAUUUUGUUUCUAGACGCAGGAGCAGCAGUGCUGCAGUUGGUUGGGACGAACACGACCAGGCAGCAAUGGUGGUGUGUGCGUGUCUUUCACAGAGGGGCCAUCAAUCGAUGUUAUCGGAGAGAUUAUUGGAUUGAUCAUAAUUUAUGCUUUCAGUUAAACGAGAGAAGUAAUAGCUUUUCGGAUAGCGCGGCCGAAGACUGAGUUAAGAGAAAUGAAAGAAAAGAGAACGAUCGAGAUGGAAGGGGAAAAAUUGAGCCGAGUGUGGUUCUUCAGUUCUGUCUCUCAUGCCUCGAACGGAAUGUAGGAGACGAGGAGAAGCCAAUGGCGAAAUGGUAAGAAUCGUAAUAGAUUGAAUACCAAUCGAGUACACUUACAACAGCCAGAAACGUCAAAGGAACAACUAGAGGGAAAAUUAAAAGUAGAAACAAGCUCAAGGACACUUUGUCACCUUCUUCAACCUGCACAAGGCGAUGACACGUCGCGAGCCUAGCUCGACGCAGUACCUGCUCCGCAUUGUGGGAGCUAGAGAGUCAUUGUAACUGCGGCCGAGAAGUCGCAUAAAGUUGCCACGAGACACUAUCAACGAUUGUCUGAAGCACGAACAGUCGACCCUGAAGAAGAAUGUGAAGGCUCGAGGAGGAGAUUCAACCUCGCGAUUAUGGCAAAAACGCCAUCGCAACAUCUUAUUGACUAUACCAUUGGCGUCGUAAUGAACGGACGCAUCGACAUGGGUACUUGACGACGGACACCGGUAUGGAUCGCUUGUAACGAGCAAUCGGUGGUGACGCGCCUCUCACUACGAUCAGGUAAAUGGGCCAGGCCCAGCAGGUAGGAACGGGGAGAGACUGGGCAGAAGUGCUCGCAGGCACAUUUCAUUUUCCACUUUUCUCUCUUUUCAGUUUUUUCAAUAUUUGUUGUAUCAAUUUAUAUAUUCUGGACUUUUUUCGGUUGAUUUAUUUUAUUUAAAGGGUUUUUAUCAUUUUUGCCACUAGUUGUGUCCCACUACUCAGUUUUGCCAUUAGAAGUUACAACUACUCAAAAAUGACAUCGAUUCGUGAGAUGUUUGCUCAAAAAUGCCAUCGUUCCGUUAGAUGUUUCCUCAAAAAUGCCAUUAGACAUCGUUAUUUUCACAUCAAACUCAUUGACCAUGUUAUAUAACAAAAAUAAGCCUAGACUCACAUGUCAGUUAUCUCUAUCUCACAAUGAUAAGUGUGGCCCCACUUGUCCGGAGUAACCAAGCGAAUAAUUUUAUAGAAAAAUAAGAACGUCGUUGGGAUCAAGUGGGCCCCACACUUUAUUGUAGUAAGAUAGAAGGAUAGCUGGCAUGCUGGUUCAUAGGUAUUUAUAUCAUUAUAACAUGGCAAAAGAGAUUUGAGAUCACAAUAAUGGUGUCCAGUGGCAUUUUUGAACAUAUGUCUAACACAACGAUGGCAUUUUUGAGCAGUUGAAAUUCCUAGUGGCAAAACUGAGUAGUGGGAGACAACCGAUGGCAUAAAUGAUAAAAACCCUUAUUUAAAAUAUCAGUGAUCCAAAAAUAUUCACAAAUUUGAAGAACGUUCUUGAAUACCAAAAACGUUCAUGAAUAAAAAACAGUUCGUGAAUCAAAUAAAUGUUCAUGAAUUUGAAAAUUUUG
rnacentral:rRNA from 1 species